CAAUAGCGUAUAUUUAAGUUGUUGCAGUUAAAAAGCUCGUAGUUGGAUUUCUGCUGAUCGCUGUCGGUCUGCCGUCAGGUGUGUACUGGCAGUGUUUGGCAUCUAUUCGAGAUUGGGUGUCCACUUGAUUGUGUGCACUCGAUGUCGGAGCUAAUACUUUGAGAAAAUUAGAGUGUUCCACGCAGGCGCGUGCCUUGAAUACUGCAGCAUGGGAUAUUGGAAGGCCGAUUGAGCUUUCUUGUUGGUUCUCGGUUUGAUCGGAAUGAUUAAUAGGGAUAGUUGGGGGCAUUCGUAUUCAACUGUCAGAGGCGAAAUUCUUGGAUUUGUUGAAGACGGACUACUGCGAAAGCAUCUGCCAUGGAUGUUCUCAUUGA
rnacentral:rRNA from 1 species